rnacentral:lncRNA from 1 species
UGGAAAUUUAUAUACUUCUCUGAGCCUCAUGCUUUUCAUUUGCAAAACGGGCUAAUACCUCUUCGCACUGUGGUUGGGAUGCCUAACGAGAGCCUGGAGGUAACACCUGGCCCCUAGCCUGGUGCUUCAGCAGUGGAGGCCCAGAAAAGUGACUCCAGCAAGUGCUAUCUCUAAAGGGUCUACAGAGAUUUGACCUGACUGGCAACGGCUCCAGCUCCCCAGCAGUGCACCCCCGGCGACACCCAGUACGGAGGAGGCUGUGCUGCAGGCAGUGGAGGGUGCAGGUACACAUGUCUCCGGAGGGGUUGAUGUCCAGGAGCCUAAUGCUUCAGAGCCUGGCGUCUAAGGGGGUGUGUGGGUGGCAGCAGAUGAAUGGUAUGAACAUAUAUAAGAAAAUUUGCAG